CACUCCUACGGGAGGCAGCAGUGGGGAAUAUUGGACAAUGGGCGCAAGCCUGAUCCAGCCAUGCCGCGUGAGUGAUGAAGGCCCUAGGGUUGUAAAGCUCUUUCACCGGUGAAGAUAAUGACGGUAACCGGAGAAGAAGCCCCGGCUAACUUCGUGCCAGCAGCCGCGGUAAUACGAAGGGGGCUAGCGUUGCUCGGAUUUACUGGGCGUAAAGCGCACGUAGGCGGACUAUUAAGUCAGGGGUGAAAUCCCGGGGCUCAACCCCGGAACUGCCUUUGAUACUGGUAGUCUUGAGUUCGAGAGAGGUGAGUGGAAUUCCGAGUGUAGAGGUGAAAUUCGUAGAUAUUCGGAGGAACACCAGUGGCGAAGGCGGCUCACUGGCUCGAUACUGACGCUGAGGUGCGAAAGCGUGGGGAGCAAACAGGAUUAGAAACCCCAGUAGUCCCAUGA
rnacentral:rRNA from 1 species